AACGAACGCUGGCGGCAGGCCUAACACAUGCAAGUCGAACGCAUCGCAAGAUGAGUGGCGCACGGGUGAGUAACACGUGGGAAUGUAUCCUUUGGUUCGGAAUAACGUCUGGAAACGGACGCUAAUACCGGAUGAGCCCUAUGGGGGAAAGAUUUAUCGCCGAAGGAGCAGCCCGCGUCUGAUUAGGUAGUUGGUGGGGUAAAGGCCUACCAAGCCGACGAUCAGUAGCUGGUCUGAGAGGAUGAUCAGCCACACUGGGACUGAGACACGGCCCAGACUCCUACGGGAGGCAGCAGUGGGGAAUAUUGGACAAUGGGCGCAAGCCUGAUCCAGCCAUGCCGCGUGAGUGAUGAAGGCCUUCGGGUUGUAAAGCUCUUUCGCACACGACGAUGAUGACGGUAGUGUGAGAAGAAGCCCCGGCUAACUUCGUGCCAGCCGCCGCGGUAAAAC
rnacentral:rRNA from 1 species